rnacentral:rRNA from 1 species
AGUGAACGCUGGCGGUAGGCCUAACACAUGCAAGUCGAACGGCAGCACAGUAAGAGCUUGCUCUUACGGGUGGCGAGUGGCGGACGGGUGAGGAAUACAUCGGAAUCUACUUUUUCGUGGGGGAUAACGUAGGGAAACUUACGCUAAUACCGCAUACGACCUACGGGUGAAAGCAGGGGAUCUUCGGACCUUGCGCGAUUGAAUGAGCCGAUGUCGGAUUAGCUAGUUGGCGGGGUAAAGGCCCACCAAGGCGACGAUCCGUAGCUGGUCUGAGAGGAUGAUCAGCCACACGGGAACUGAGACACGGUCCAGACUCCUACGGGAGGGAGCAGUGGGGAAUAUUGGACAAUGGGCGCAAGCCUGAUCCAGCAAUACCGCGUGGGUGAAGAAGGCCUUCGGGUUGUAAAGCCCUUUUGUUGGGAAAGAAAAGCAGCAGGUUAAUACCCCGCUGUUCUGACGGUACCCAAAGAAUAAGCACCGGCUAACUUCGUG